UACGUAGGAUGCAAGCGUUGUUCGGAAUUACUGGGCGUAAAGCGUGCGCAGGCGGUUUUGUAAGCCAGAUGUGAAAGCCCCGGGCUUAACCUGGGAAUGGCAUUUGGGACUGCAAGGCUCGAGUUUGGCAGAGGAGACUGGAAUUCCUGGUGUAGCAGUGAAAUGCGUAGAUAUCAGGAGGAAUACCGAUGGCGAAGGCAGGUCUCUGGGCUAUAACUGACGCUCAUGCACGAAAGCGUGGGGAGCAAACAGG
rnacentral:rRNA from 1 species